UGGCUCAGGAUGAACGCUGGCGGCGUGCCUAAUACAUGCAAGUCGAACGAGUUCUCGUUGAUGAUCGGUGCUUGCACCGAGAUUCAACAUGGAACGAGUGGCGGACGGGUGAGUAACACGUGGGUAACCUGCCCUUAAGUGGGGGAUAACAUUUGGAAACAGAUGCUAAUACCGCAUAGAUCCAAGAACCGCAUGGUUCUUGGCUGAAAGAUGGCGUAAGCUAUCGCUUUUGGAUGGACCCGCGGCGUAUUAGCUAGUUGGUGAGGUAACGGCUCACCAAGGCGAUGAUACGUAGCCGAACUGAGAGGUUGAUCGGCCACAUUGGGACUGAGACACGGCCCAAACUCCUACGGGAGGCAGCAGUAGGGAAUCUUCCACAAUGGACGCAAGUCUGAUGGAGCAACGCCGCGUGAGUGAAGAAGGCUUUCGGGUCGUAAAACUCUGUUGUUGGAGAAGAAUGGUCGGCAGAGUAACUGUUGUCGGCGUGACGGUAUCCAACCAGAAAGCCACGGCUAACUACGUGCCAGCAGCCGCGGUAAUACGUAGGUGGCAAGCGUUAUCCGGAUUUAUUGGGCGUAAAGCGAGCGCAGGCGGUUUUUUAAGUCUGAUGUGAAAGCCCUCGGCUUAACCGAGGAAGCGCAUCGGAAACUGGGAAACUUGAGUGCAGAAGAGGACAGUGGAACUCCAUGUGUAGCGGUGAAAUGCGUAGAUAUAUGGAAGAACACCAGUGGCGAAGGCGGCUGUCUGGUCUGUAACUGACGCUGAGGCUCGAAAGCAUGGGUAGCGAACAGGAUUAGAUACCUG
rnacentral:rRNA from 1 species